rnacentral:rRNA from 1 species
UGGGGGAUAUUGCACAAUGGGCGAAAGCCUGAUGCAGCGACGCCGCGUGGGGGAUGAAGGCUUUCGGGUUGUAAACCUCUUUCGCUAUCGAACAAGGCCCGCUUAGGGUGGGUUGAGGGUAGGUGGAGAAGAAGCGCCGGCUAACUACGUGCCAGCAGCCGCGGUAAUACGUAGGGCGCGAGCGUUGUCCGGAAUUAUUGGGCGUAAAGGGCUUGUAGGCGGCUUGUUGCGCCUGCUGCGAAAACGCGGGGCGUAACUUCGCGCGUGCAGUGGGUACGGGCAGGCUUGAGUGUGGUAGGGGUGACUGGAAUUCCAGGUGUAGCGGUGGAAUGCGCAGAUAUCUGGAGGAACACCGAUGGCGAAGGCAGGUCACUGGGCCAUUACUGACGCUGAGGAGCGAAAGCAUGGGUAGCGAACAGG